CCCUUUUGAGCCUCCUUCCCACCCAUCUCAAAUGCUUCUCCUUUUCACUUUAUAAUGUGUCUUGAAGAUAAUUUCAAUCUGUAUAUGAAGAGCUGCCUUUUUCCUUCUUAUAAAAAAAUUGAUGUAUAUGUGCUGCUCCAGAUGUGUACUGUAUUUAUUUAAGUAGACUCUUACUGAUAGAUCUUUGGAUAACUUCUGAUCUUUUGAUCUUAUACUCAUUGUUGCAGUGUAUAAUCUCACAUGUCAUUUCAUGCAUGUAUAAAUAUUAACUGUAGGAUAAAUUUCUACAAGUGGAAUGACAGGAUCAUAGGUGUGUGCAUUUUAAGUCACGAUAGGAAUUGCCAAAUACCCCCUAGACAAGAUGUUGCAACAUAGAUGCUCAUCAACAGGGUCGUUCCCCCACACCCUCUCUGACAUACUUUGUCAACUGACUUUUAAAAUCCUUUCCUAUUAGAGAAAGACAUCUUCUUGUAGUUUUCAUUUGUAUUUCUUUUUCGAGUGUAGUGACUCAGUUGUCAGAAAUAGCCACAAAAGAUAGAAUAAUUGAAUCUUUGAUUUUAUGUAGCUGUCUCCACAUUUAAAACUUGAAAUUCUGACACAUAGGUUGGCUUGGCAAAAAAAAAAAAAAAA